rnacentral:rRNA from 1 species
ACGGCUCAGUAACACGUGGAUAACUGCCGUAAGGUGGAGGAUAACCCCGGGAAACUGGGGAUAAUACUCCAUAGGUUAAAGGUACUGGAAUGUUCUUUAACCGAAAGUUCCGGCGCAUAGGAUGGAUCUGCGGCCGAUUAGGUUGUUGUUGGGGUAGUGGCCCAACAAGCCUGUAAUCGGUACGGGUUGUGGGAGCAAGAGCCCGGAGAUGGAAUCUGAGACACGAUUCCAGGCCCUACGGGGCGCAGCAGGCGCGAAAACUUUACAAUGCAGGAAACUGUGAUAAGGGAACCCCGAGUGCCCGUAUAUGCGGGCUGUCCGGAUGUUUAAAACGCAUCCGAAGAAAGGGCCGGGCAAGACCGGUGCCAGCCGCCGCGGUAAUACCGGCGGCUCGAGUGGUGGCCACUUUUAUUGGGCUUAAAGCGUUCGUAGCUUGAAUAAUAAGUCUCUUGGGAAAUCUGCAGGCUUAACCUGCAGGCGUUUAAGAGAAACUGUUGUUAUAGGAACCGGAAGAGGUGAGAGGUACUCCGGGGGUAGGAGUGAAAUCCUGUAAUCCCCGGGGGACCACCGAUGGCGAAGGCAUCUCACCAGGACGGCUUCGACAGUGAGGAACGAAAGCUGGGGGAGCGAACCGGAUUAGAUACCCGGGUAGUCCCAGCCGUAAACGAUGUGCGUUAGGUGUGCCGGUGACCACGAGUCACUGGGGUGCCGAAGGGAAACCGUGAAACGUACCGCCUGGGAAGUACGGUCGCAAGGCUGAAACUUAAAGGAAUUGGCGGGGGAGCACAAGGG